rnacentral:rRNA from 1 species
GCGGUAUUUUGACCGUGCUAAGGUAGCAUAAUCAAUUGUUUUUUAAUUGAAAACUAGUAUGAACGGUUUAAUUUACUUAAUUAGUUUGUAAUUUUUAAUAGUAAGUUAAAUAUAAAGUAAGAAUUCUUUAAUAAAUUAGGGGACGAUAAGACCCUAAAAGCUUUAUGAUCGGCAUUUAAUUGGUGAUAGCGGUGUUAUUAAUUCACUGGGGCAGUGAGUUUAGGUAUAUUUAAGUAUAAUUAAAAGCUCCUUUAAAUAAAGAUUUCAUGUAUAAGUUACUUUAGGGAUAACAGUGCAAUAUAUUUGGGGAGACCAUAUCUAUAAAUAUGAUUGCAACCUCGAUGU